CAGUUUCAUUAUCUAGACUAGCUGUUGCUCCUCUUAUUGAUAAAUUCUCUUUCUGUAAUAAGAUGUGUAUCUGUUGUCUUUUUUAUCAGCUGCCCCUAAAUUACAAUGAGGAUGUAUUUGGGUGGUGGGUUGAGCGGGAGGUUGGUUAUUUUUUUCUCCUUAAUAAGUGCAGGUGAGUCAGUCACCCAAGAUUUCAAAUUGGUCCUUGUU
rnacentral:lncRNA from 1 species